rnacentral:rRNA from 1 species
UACAGAGGGUGCGAGCGUUAAUCGGAAUUACUGGGCGUAAAGCGUGCGUAGACGGCUAUCUAAGUCGGGUGUGAAAGCCCCGGGCUCAACCUGGGAAUUGCAUUCGAGACUGAAUAGCUAGGGUACGGUAGAGGGAAGCGGAAUUUCCGGUGUAGCGGUGAAAUGCGUAGAUAUCUGGAGGAACACCGGUGGCGAAGGCGGCAUUCUGGACCGAAACUGACGCUGAGGCGCGAAAGCCAGGGGAGCAAACGGG